rnacentral:tRNA from 1 species
GACUCAGUGGUUCGAUGGUAAAGCGCUUGUCACGGAGCCGGAGGAUCCUGGGUUCAAUCCCCAAUGGGGUCG